UGAUAAUAAAUAUAGUAAACAAUAAUGGUAUUUGAAAUAAUAAUAAUAAUAAAUACAUUUCGUCCUUAACCUUUAAAAAAGUUGAUAAAUAUACAUACGUAUACACGAAUAGACAAAUAAAUACAUUAAAUAUGAAGAUCAUCAUUCUUUAUCAUCUUCGUUAAAUUAACAAAUAAACGAUAAAACUGUUAAUACUUAGGUUUAUUCGUAAAUAACGUUAAAGAUCUGUUUAAAAGAUAAAAAGAAUUUCAAGAAAAGAUUUUUAGGAUAAAGAGAAUACUUUUCUAAUAUUUACGUUUGGAAAGUACCAAUGUGGAAUUUUUGUCUUGCUUGCUGCUACAUUGAAAUCUGGUGUUUACUUAAAAAAAAAAAAAAGAAAGAAAAAAGAGAGAGAGAGAAAGGAAAAAAAAGAAAAAAAAAGAAAAAUGCUUUCAACUAUGUUAGUCUCCUAAGUGUAGGUAGAAAUUGGUUUUCUCUCUCUUUCUCUCUCUUUGCAACCCCCAAUGCCCUUUUCCAACUUCGAUCAGUUAUCGGCUUUGCCCUUGUAAUGUGAGUGAGAUAGAUAUAUAUGCGUGUGUGUGUGUCUGCAUGUAUUUUACACAAACGUGCGCACACACAUAUAUGUAUGUAUGCAUAUAUGUAUGUAGUAUGUUCAACGAUGAGUAGCAUCCAUACGUCGUCCAAUGCCGAUGGCUCGUGGAAAAGCUGCAUUCUAUGAAUGGAGUCGAGCGCCGGAUCAGUCGACACAAGCAAGGACGACUAAUUAUAGCGGGUAGUAGUAUCUCUCCCGGCUUUGAGUUUUCCUACGUUGACCGUAUAUGCUCGAAUACUCUCUUUGUGUGUCAAAUAUAUAACAAUAAUAAUAGUAAUAAUAUUAAUAAUAAUAAUAAUGAAAUAAUAGAAACAAAAGGUAUUGUAUUCCUUUAGACACGAUAAUAUAUAUCAUUCAUAAAGUUUCAUCGUGAUCAUUGAAAAAUUCCUAUGAAUCAGAUAUAAUAACUAUAAGAUAAAAAAAAAAUAAUAAUAAAUUUGAUGUCUAAUAUGAUGGCAAUAUUUUAUAUAUAUCUUUUAUAUAAUUGAUCUAAGCUUCGUCGAGAGAUCAUUAAAUAAUUUAUCCAUAUCCAAGAUUUUAAUAAAAAAUAAAAAACAUACGAAUUAAUGUUUCUCUCUUCGAUUAAAUGCUAGAUCAUUGAUUGAAUUUUGUCGGGAUUAAUCGAAUCGAAUCUUUUAUGAAAUAAAGCAAAUAAGUUAUUAUCGUUCCUUCCUGAUAAUAAUUUCAUUGAUUAAAUUUAAUUUUGUCGAUAUUUUGGGAAAACAAAUCCAUACCAAUCGAAGACGUGUGAAUACGUAUAGAAAAAAAUUUUUACCUUCUAUACGAUGAUAUAUAAUACAUACAUCGUUUGAAAAUUUCUUUAAGAUCAUUGAAAGAUUCCUAAUCUCGGAUCGAAGGAUUUUUAACGUGAAAAAAAAAAAAGAAAGAAAAAGAGGAAAAAAGAAGUUUCUUUUUUAUGUAGAUAAAACCAUAUUGAAAGAUGUACCCAGUACAUCUUUUAUAAUACUUUCUCGCGUAUAUAUUUACCGAUGAAAUUUACGAAUAGAAAUUUUAAAAGUGGUUUUAACCUGAAAGCGACGUUCGAUUUACUUCGGAUAAGAUCAAACGAUAUCUCGUUGUGUGCAUUUACGAUUUCAAUGGAGCCGACGUCUUCGAGCGCCGCAAUCGAGGUCGUGUCCUCGAGAUAGGAAGUUAAUCUUUGAUCAAAUCAUAUUAACACACAAUGACGAAUUUAAUCGAGCUGAUGAAAAAAAAUGGUUGGAUGAUGAAAGAAAAAGAAAAGAAAAAAUUAAUGAAAAUCGAUUUAAAAAAGAAAAGAAAAGAAAGAAGAGAGAAGAGAAGAAAUUUAAUUGGACUGAUAGAAAAAAUCGUUGCAUAAAGAGGAGGAAAGGGAAGAAAUUUACGAUCAAAAAUAAGAGUUACUAAUUACAAUGGCGAAUAUAAUUGUGCCGACAGAUAAAAUCAUUGGAUAAUGGGGGUAGGUGGGAAAGGGUAGGAAAUAAAUAAGUUUACGAUUACAAAAGGGAGAGUUACUACUUAAUUGACAACAGCUUUCGUUUUGCCAGAAAUAGAUCAUGCUCGUAGGAAGAAACAUAAACUUCGUUGAAUGGACAUAAGAGUUUAGCGCUGAUUAAGACUAAAAAGAAAGAGAAGGGGGAGAGAGAGAGAGAAAAAGAGAGAGCGUGGGAGAAGUUAAGGAAAUUAUAUACACAUACAUGCACAUAUAUACAUAUACUCUUGUACGAUCAUCGUAAAGGAUACAUAAGUGAAACGAAUUAUUCUACUCCCAACGCGUAAUUAAUUAAUGGUGAGUCAGUGUCAAGUACAAUACGAGUUUUAUAAAUAUAGGAUUUUUCUUUCUCUCUCUCUCUCUCUCUUUCUUUCUCUUUCUUUCUUUCUUUCUCUUUUUUAUUUAUUAUUACUGAUAAUCUUCCUAUUAAGAGGAUAAUUAAGAAUAUAAGACAGGUUUAUUUCACCGAUUAGAAAUCGACAUUUUAAUGAUACAUUUCCUUUUUAAAAUCAUGUCUGACGAAUAUAUCGUCUUGUUAAACGUAUAUAUGUGAAUGUGUGUAUGUGUUUUUAUGGAUAAUAUAGUAUAAGAUUUAUUUAUUUAUAUAAUUAGGAACAUUGAUUAUAUAUAGUGGAUACAGAAGUGAUAACAAAAUAAUUUCUAAACAAGUAAUAUUCUCUAUCAAAAAAUAUUGUUUGAACAAGUGUACGUGUAAUAUACUAUACAAAUAUGUAUAAAACUUCGUAAAGUGUUUACAAAAUUUAACGAUUUAAUUUGCAAAAUAAUUUUUGAAGAAGUAAUAUAUAUUUUUUAUAUAUUUAAUAAUAAUAUAUAUAUUAUUUAUCAAAAAACAUUGUUCAAGUUAAUAUUCGCGUGUACUAUAACAUAUUAUAUGUAUAUAAAAAGUAUCACGACAUGAAAAUUAAUUUAAAAAUUAAAUAAUAAAUUUGCAAGAGAGAAAAAGUGAAUAAUAAUUAUAAAUGAGUAACAUAAUGUGUAUGUCACCGAAAUAAAAAAGAAACAAAAAUACUUUUAUAAACAAA